rnacentral:rRNA from 1 species
GACGAACGCUGGCGGCGUGCUUAACACAUGCAAGUCGAACGGAAAGGCCCUGCUUUUGUGGGGUGCUCGAGUGGCGAACGGGUGAGUAACACGUGAGUAACCUGCCCUUGACUUUGGGAUAACUUCAGGAAACUGGGGCUAAUACCGGAUAGGAGCUCCUGCUGCAUGGUGGGGGUUGGAAAGUUUCGGCGGUUGGGGAUGGACUCGCGGCUUAUCAGCUUGUUGGUGGGGUAGUGGCUUACCAAGGCUUUGACGGGUAACCGGCCUGAGAGGGUGACCGGCCACAUUGGGACUGAGAGACGGCCCAGACUCCUACGGGAGGCAGCAGUGGGGAAUAUUGCACAAUGGGCGGAAGCCUGAUGCAGCAACGCCGCGUGCGGGAUGACGGCCUUCGGGUUGUAAACCGCUUUCGCCUGUGACGAAGCGUGAGUGACGGUAAUGGGUAAAGAAGCACCGGCUAACUACGU